GACGAACGCUGGCGGCGUGCUUAACACAUGCCAGUCGAACGGAAAGGCCCUGCUUUUGUGGGGUGCUCGAGUGGCGAACGGGUGAGUAACACGUGAGUAACCUGCCCUUGACUUUGGGAUAACUUCAGGAAACUGGGGCUAAUACCGGAUAGGAGCUCCUGCUGCAUGGUGGUGGUUGGAAAGUUUCGGCGGUUGGGGAUGGACUCGCGGCUUAUCAGCUUGUUGGUGGGGUGGUGGCUUACCAAGGCUUUGACGGGUAGCCGGCCUGAGAGGGUGACCGGCCACAUUGGGACUGAGAUACGGCCAAGACUCCUACGGGGGGCAGAAGUGGGAAAUAUUGAACAAUGGGCGGAAGCCUGAUGAAGCACCGCCGCGUGCGGGAUGACGGCCUUCGGGUUGUAACCCGCUUUCGCCUGUGACGAAGCGUGAGUGACGGUAAUGGGUAAAGAAGCACCGGCUAACUACGUG
rnacentral:rRNA from 1 species